rnacentral:rRNA from 1 species
AGAGUUUGAUCAUGGCUCAGAUUGAACGCUGGCGGCAGGCCUAACACAUGCAAGUCGAACGGUAACAGGAAGAGGCUUGCUUCUUUGCUGACGAGUGGCGGACGGGUGAGUAAUGUCUGGGAAACUGCCUGAUGGAGGGGGAUAACUACUGGAAACGGUAGCUAAUACCGCAUAACGUCGCAAGACCAAAGAGGGGGACCUUCGGGCCUCUUGCCAUCGGAUGUGCCCAGAUGGGAUUAGCUAGUAGGUGGGGUAACGGCUCACCUAGGCGACGAUCCCUAGCUGGUCUGAGAGGAUGACCAGCCACACUGGAGCUGAGACACGGUCCAGACUCCUACGGGAGGCAGCAGUGGGGAAUAUUGCACAAUGGGCGCAAGCCUGAUGCAGCCAUGCCGCGUGUAUGAAGAAGGCCUUCGGGUUGUAAAGUACUUUCAGCGGGGAGGAAGGGAGUAAAGUUAAUACCUUUGCUCAUUGACGUUACCCGCAGAAGAAGCACCGGCUAACUCCGUGCCAGCAGCCGCGGUAAUACGGAGGGUGCAAGCGUUAAUCGGAAUUACUGGGCGUAAAGCGCACGCAGGCGGUUUGUUAAGUCAGAUGUGAAAUCCCCGGGCUCAACCUGGGAACUGCAUCUGAUACUGGCAAGCUUGAGUCUCGUAGAGGGGGGUAGAAUUCCAGGUGUAGCGGUGAAAUGCGUAGAGAUCUGGAGGAAUACCGGUGGCGAAGGCGGCCCCCUGGACGAAGACUGACGCUCAGGUGCGAAAGCGUGGGGAGCAAACAGGAUUAGAUACCCUGGUAGUCCACGCCGUAAACGAUGUCGACUUGGAGGUUGUGCCCUUGAGGCGUGGCUUCCGGAGCUAACGCGUUAAGUCGACCGCCUGGGGAGUACGGCCGCAAGGUUAAAACUCAAAUGAAUUGACGGGGGCCCGCACAAGCGGUGGAGCAUGUGGUUUAAUUCGAUGCAACGCGAAGAACCUUACCAGGUCUUGACAUCCACGGAAGUUUUCAGAGAUGAGAAUGUGCCUUCGGGAACCGUGAGACAGGUGCUGCAUGGCUGUCGUCAGCUCGUGUUGUGAAAUGUUGGGUUAAGUCCCGCAACGAGCGCAACCCUUAUCCUUUGUUGCCAGCGGUCCGGCCGGGAACUCAAAGGAGACUGCCAGUGAUAAACUGGAGGAAGGUGGGGAUGACGUCAAGUCAUCAUGCCCCUUACGACCAGGGCUACACACGUGCUACAAUGGCGCAUACAAAGAGAAGCGACCUCGCGAGAGCAAGCGGACCUCAUAAAGUGCGUCGUAGUCCGGAUUGGAGUCUGCAACUCGACUCCAUGAAGUCGGAAUCGCUAGUAAUCGUGGAUCAGAAUGCCACGGUGAAUACGUUCCCGGGCCUUGUACACACCGCCCGUCACACCAUGGGAGUGGGUUGCAAAAGAAGUAGGUAGCUUAACCUUCGGGAGGGCGCUUACCACUUUGUGAUUCAUGACUGGGGUGAAGUCGUAACAAGGUAACCGUAGGGGAACCUGCGGUUG